AACACCAGCGGGCCUUUGUUGCAGGCCGUACAGAAGUAUGCCCUUUCUCCCCGGCGGUGCCGACUCUCGGUGGUUCCUGGCCGCACAGCCCUGGGACGCAUCGCCCCGCUGGCUGGCGUGAGCCGCUGCGCUCCCACCCCAAGUCGCAGGGGGCGCCACCCAAUCUCGUUCCGACGCGAAUGGGGCUCGGCUUCCUUUGUACGCUCGCGCGGCAAGGAAGGCCUCACUUCCGGCCUUGCGCGCCUGGGGUCCGAGGCUAACGGGCGCGAGAUGUUCAGCAUGAAGUUCAACCCCUUCCUGACGUGGGGCUGCAGCACAAACCGCAAGCGCCACGUCAACGCCCCCUCGCACGUGCGCAGGAACAUCAUGUCUUCCCCCACUCCAAGGAGCUGCGGCAGAAGUGCAACGUCCGCUCCAUGCCCAUCCGCAAGGACGACGGGGUCCAGGUGGUUCGAGGACACUGCAAAGGUCAGCAAAUUGGCAAGGUAG
rnacentral:lncRNA from 1 species